AUCGAGUAACCUAAGACACAAUGGAUCAUGGAGACUGAGGAACAAAACAAAAAAGUCUGUCACUCCACUCUGUCCGCACAUACUGCAGUGUGCGCGAUCAACUCAGUCAUGCGCUCUCUCACAAGUCUGGGCCGAUGCCUAAGGUAAAAGAGGCUCUCCCCCUUGUUACAGCAGGGGUUGGUGCUGCCACUUUGCUCUGUAUACGAUGCUUGUGUAUCAUAAUGUAGCUGCUCCUUACCCUGUCUCCCUCAGAAAACAUAAUCUGCUUUAACAGAAAAAAUCAUCCUGUAAUGUUCUCUAGUCUUGUGCACUGUGGAAGAAAAAAAGCUUCUAUUUGAGAUUUUAGCUUCCUGCCUAUUUCUGACAAGAGUUAUUGGUGUCAGUGUUUCACAGAACUACCAGAGUCCUCAGCAGUAAGCCUCAAACCCAAAGACUGCACAGUGAUCUUGGGAAAAGCUUGAGUCACUUUGAUUUUACUCAAACCAUACCAAAAGGGGAAGCGUGUAGCGAAAGUAUUUUAAACUCCCCAAUAUUUGAAAUCAUGGGAACUUAACAUAUUUUCACAAAUAUGUCCAGCAGAAAUUCCAGUAAAUGUGAGUAAGGCUUGGGAAAAGAAUGAAACUAACCUCUUCCAACCAGAUGACUAGAUGCUUUAUAUGUGCAAGAAUAUGACAUUGAAUUAGGCAUAGCUGAAAACCUUUAGCUGUAACGAAUACUAAACUGUUAGCCACACUGACAACAUAGCCGCUCAUCACCUUAAUUUACGUACACAACCUAGGAAACCAAUGCAGCACAGUUGGAUCUUACAGGAAAAUUAAGUUAGCAGCGUAGUAACUGAGGAAAAAUACAGCAAGUAUGUGUACUGUCAGUCAGUCUGUCCUCCAUUUCAGAGCUGCCAUUUCAAAUUUUCCUGCAGGACUUUCCACAGUUAAUUUAACUUUUCAUCGUAUGAAGGGUGGUGAAUGCCUUCGUCGUACAACAGCCAGUUCUCUCUCAGGAAAGACCUAAUUGGUCAGUCUCUAGUCAUGGGUUAAGCCUGAAAAGAGAGCUGAGAGAAGUUGCACAAGUCUAGUUUUCUCUCGGACAACCUCAAAUUAAAACAUGCAGAAGGAUUAUUGUGGAAGCUUACAGAAAAAUGUCUGCUUAACUUUGCUACUUUAAUAAAAUUCAGUAGCCUGUCAAGGAAGCCACCAGACUUAAAGCAAAUUGCUCCAGCCUACUAUUGUUCAGUCUGAAUGAUUCAUAUUCUGAAAUGGCCACGGUGCACCAGCCCUGACCUUUGCUCAUGUUAGACGGUGGAGUUUCUAAAUUUUAUUAAAGAGGAUGACACCAGAUGAAAUCAUGGAGGUUUUUAGCUGUGGUGAAAGUUUCAGUAAUAAUGCAGAAGUGAAAACUGUUCUGGUCAUUUAUAAAGAAAACGUAAUGUCUGAUGCCUAACCCAAACAGAGAUUUAGGUUAUAUUUGACUGAGGUCAUGGUGAGAUAAAUUAGGAUUUACAAAAUUAAAUUAGAACGAGUACACUGAAGAGUUUCACUCUGAUUGCAAAGUGGAAACAGAAAUGUGUUGGACAUGUUUGUGAAAGUACGAGUCAGCACUGCAAAUGAACCCUUUGGAGACGUGCAAGGCUUAUAAAUGGCUGCCCCGUGAAUUGAACUGACUCAUAUUAUUUUGGCAAACUGAAACAUCACGAUGCCAGUUCUGGAUGCUCAAGGGACAAAAAAAAAAAAAAAAUCCUAAUUGGGCACGGAGUCCUGUUCUGUAAGGCCCUGUAUUCAAUUGCACCAAAUCUAAAAUGGCUGCCAACAGACAGCUCUUUAAAAAAAAAAAAAAGGAAAAAAAUGGCCAUGUAACCUUUACUCAAGCCGUUCUGGGGAAAAUCACCGAACAGUGCUCUGCUGAAGGAAGCUCAUGCUGUAUCUUAUCUCUGUGCCCUGUGAGAGCCUUGGUGUGCGUUUGUCAAGACGGAGCAGAGAUAGAUAGGGCAGUUCAGUCCAAUGCUGGCCCAUAGCAUUUGAACAGACCUCAAAUACUCUUUCUUGUCACCAUUCAUCAUCUCUUAGAUCAUUUUCAGUGAAGUAUCUCAAUUACGUUCUGACAAUGACAACUGCUGUUACAAAUGUCUUCAAGGUGUUUGCACAUUCAGCUCAGUAGUGUUUUUGUGUCUAAAUGGGGUGCUUGUGAAUGCCCUUCCUUGGUUUAAUGGGCACUGUUGAUUAACGGUGCGGCACAAAAAAAAGGGCCGGAAGGUAAGGUUAAGAAAUUUGAUCAAGGUAAGGCUAAUCCAAGUAUCCCACUUAGAUUUUACCAUGUUAUAGUUCAGAGCAAUAAAUGCAUUUCUGAGCUGAUUAACUUGCCAAUACAAACUAUUGGCCUUACUGAAGCCUCAUUAAAACUAAGAAGUGACUGCUGUGCCAUGCCUGCUUGAUGUUGGGAGAGGAACAGUCCAUUUAACCACUAUGCAACCCACUUGUGCUUGUCUGUUUCUCUCCUUUGUCUGUGUUCGCAGUUCUAAACAGAGCACCCUGUGUGUCAGGAAAACUAUAUCCUCACACACAAAGAGAAGGAGAGAAUGAACAGUAAAUAUUCAAACUACACAAAACGUUGUUCAACAGAAAAACGGAUCGAUAAAGAGUUGAAGCUCUCCGUGCCAAGUGACUCCUCGUAAAUGGGUACUUAAACUUUUUUUUUUUUUUUUUUUUUUCCCCCUCCUUUUGGUGGGGUGAGAUGAGGAGCCAAACGGACUUGGUGUUUAAAGUGAGAAAAUGAAAGCUGUGGUUCCUAAUGUCCUGUCUAAGUGGAUGUCUCUAUGUGUGAUGAAGCGUGAAGUGCUCUGUAACCCUAACAAAAUGACUAUCACUGUGUUCCUGUGCUUUUAAAUGGCCUCCUCCUCACUGUCACUAUCUCUGCCUCCAUCCUCCUCAGUAUGAAAUGGGAAGGCGAAAUGGAGGACAUCCAUAAAUAGAGUAAUUGCAUGAAGGGCAGGUGUUUAUCGUACCCUCAGCCCUCACACACUCUAUAAUGAUCAAAAAAAGGUCAAAUUGUUAAUGGUGCUUGAACUUCAUAUUUUCCUCUGUCCAUACUGAAUAUUGUAUAAAGUUAGAUUAUGUGUAGUCUGUUUAAUCUUCUGUGAUAGUUCACACCUCAAAAUACUAAAAUGCUCAAACUGCAAAUUUAUCCAUCUGCUUGCCGCAACGAUGGAUGCGUAAUCUUUUUUAUAUAACUUCAUUAAAUCACAAUGGAUACUCUUGCCAGUGAUCAACAAGUGUGAGUUUCGAAGUCAACACAAAUCUGUUGGGGUGAAAAAAUGUAGCUUAUUGUGCUGAAAACGUAUGUGACUCGGACUGCAGCAGUUCUCCUUCAGGAUUUCUCAGGAGUUUUGCUGCAUUCAAUUUACCCUCUACCUUCACGAGCUGCUGCAGCGAAGCCUCCACACAGCAUGACGCAGCCACCAUCACACUUGUGGGGAUAAUGUGUAGUGGUGAGGAGUUACUGACUUGUGAACGCAGUGGGCAGAAUUCAUAAAAUAAGCCUAAUUCCACAUGGAUCCUCCACUUUUGUAAUGCCAGCUUCCUCUACAGUAGCCCGCUGGUUUUAUAGGUAGCGUUUCCAUGUCAGCUUUAGGAUUGUGUAGACUUCCUGUAGACGUCUUGGUGCUCUUCUUCACCAAAUGUUGCACAAGUACAGUGUCCUCUAUAGAGAUGAGCAAUUUUUUUUCAUGAUAUUAAACUGAGUCAUGUAACUUAGCUUUUCUCUAAGUAAUACUUUAGAGUGACAAAUCACUCAAGUGUUUGUAAUGCAUUUAUAGGCCCAGCCUAACUCUUUUUAAUAUUAAAUGAACAUAAAGGGAAUGAAUAGUUUUUACAGAUGUUUUACAUUCUAUGAUGAUGAUCUUUGGUGCAACAGUUUUUCUAUGUGUCAGGCUUCUGUAUUGCCAAUUGAUUAAUCAGAAAAGUUAUUUUAGUCUAACAUAAUUUAUUGAAACAUUGUAACACAGAUGUGAUUUAAUAAAAAAAAAAAAAAAUUGAACUAUAAUCAAAGGUUUCUUUAAAAAAUAUUCUUGUACCAUAAAUCCUUUUUUGAAGAAAAAAAUUCUUCUUUCAUUCAAAUGAUUUUCAUUUCAAAACUACAUAUUUUAAACAUGGCUUAAAAUGUGUUGAUUUAGUGUCCCCUUCUAACCAGUCGUCUGUUUUUAUAGUAAUCUAAUUACAGACUUGUGGGGCAUGAAUGCAAAGCCACUGUUUGCUUAUUGCUCUUCUACAAAUGUUAAGAGAUGCAAAAUCAAUGGCUUAAUUCAACAUUUGCAUUUCUAAUGCUGGCAUUUUCCAAACUUUAUCCCUCUUGAGUCUCGCGCCAUUCCCUAUAGCCCCAAACAAAAUAUGGCUGCAAGAGGGGUGGAUGUGACUCUCAAGUCGAAACAUGUGUUAAAGCAGUUAAAGUGUACGCUAAUCCACUGGUACAUACAUGAAGAAGAGUUCAAGACAGUCUCUUGUAAUCAUGCUUACCUUAUACUCUGGGUUUUUGUCAGAGGCAAGUGUGAGUUUAUUAGAAGUACCUCUGGGUCCAUUUCAUUCAAACAUUUAUUGUCAUGUGACCAUGUGCUGCUUAUUCCUUCAAAAUUAAGUGUUUCAUGUUGUAGCAUUUAAAGCUGAUUUGAUUUUUUUUUUUUUUUUUUCUUUGAACCAUUUUGUUUAUUUUUAGUCACAGUGCUCCUUUUGUAAGUUUUUUUUAUUUUUCCUUUAUUUGCUUCAUAAAAUUUCAUCAUGCAUUCAGAUGCAAAUAUAAAAAAGCAGCUUCUGCA